CUUGGUCAUUUAGAGGAAGUGAAAGUCGUAACAAGGUUUCCGUAGGUGAACCUGCGGAAGGAUCAUUACUGAAAUGUAAUAACUUCUAUUGAAAGGUUCCAGAGUAGGCGCUACAACGCCGAAAUGACCUUCUCACCCUUGUGUACUCACUAUGUUGCUUUGGCUGGUCGACCUGGUUCCGACCCAGGCGGCCGGCGCCCCCAGCCUUAACUGGCCAGGACGCCCGGCUAAGUGCCCGCCAGUAUACAAAACUCAAGAAUUCAUUUUGUGAAGUCCUGAUAUAUCAUUUAAUUGAUUAAAACUUUCAACAACGGAUCUCUUGGUUCUGGCAUCGAUGAAGAACGCAGCGAAAUGCGAUAAGUAAUGUGAAUUGCAGAAUUCAGUGAAUCAUCGAAUCUUUGAACGCACAUUGCGCCCUCUGGUAUUCCGGAGGGCAUGCCUGUUCGAGCGUCAUUUCAACCCUCAAGCUCUGCUUGGUAUUGGGCAACGUCCGCUGCCGGACGGGCCUUGAAGACCUCGGCGACGGCGUCCUAGCCUCGAGCGUAGUAGUAAAAUAUCUCGCUUUGGAGUGCUGGGCGACGGCCGCCGGACAAUCGACCUUCGGUCUAUUUUUCCAAGGUUGACCUCGGAUCAGGUAGGGAUACCCGCUGAACUUAAGCAUAUCAAUAAGCGGAGGA
rnacentral:rRNA from 1 species